AUUGAACGCUGGCGGCAGGCCUAACACAUGCAAGUCGAGCGGAUGAAGGGAGCUUGCUCCUGGAUUCAGCGGCGGACGGGUGAGUAAUGCCUAGGAAUCUGCCUGGUAGUGGGGGAUAACGUCCGGAAACGGGCGCUAAUACCGCAUACGUCCUGAGGGAGAAAGUGGGGGAUCUUCGGACCUCACGCUAUCAGAUGAGCCUAGGUCGGAUUAGCUAGUUGGUGGGGUAAAGGGCUACCAAGGCGACGAUCCGUAACUGGUCUGAGUGGAUGGUCAGCCACAUGGGAGGGUGACCGGGGACCUGAGUCCUGCGGGACGGCGCAGUGGGGAAUGUUAGGCAACAGGGGAGAAUCUUGUACAGCGGGGCGACGUGUGUGGAAGAGGUCUUGCGAUUGUAAAGCAGUUUAAGGUGUGGGGAAGCGCAGUAACUUGAGACGUAGCUGUAUUGACGGUAACGGCAGAAGAAGCACCGGCUAACUACGUG
rnacentral:rRNA from 1 species